GGGAAGGAAGAUGAGAGGGGGCGGCGGGGACAACAAUGCAGCCAGGUGCAGCGGCCCGCGCGCGGGGAGGGAGGCCAGGUGCGCGCCCGGAUGCCCGGCGGCGUCGGGGGAGGGGACGGGGACUCCGGCGCCGCGGCCGCCAGCGCGUGCAGCCGGGCUCCCCGCCGUCCAGCACCGCACAGCCGCGGCGGGCCCGGCGCGGUGCACAUCCGGGUCCUGGCGCGGCGCCCCCCGGGCCGGCCCUGGGCGGGGGAACCAGGACUCCCCACCCCCCAGCUUCCCGCGGCUCUCUCUGCCCCGCCCCUGCGGACGACCCUCUGCGGGUCCCGCCUCCCCACGCACAGUAACCUUUGGAAUCUGCACGAACUGGAACCUCCCCUGCUCUAGAGCCCUCCUCGGCUCCCCAGCGCCCGCGAGCAGCGGAGCUCCAACCUGCCUGCGUCCGGAGCAAGAGGACAAAAACGUGUGUUCCAGGCGCGCCCGGCUGGCUCCGUCGGGAGCGCGAGCGCCUCUGGACGGCGGGGUCGUGAGUUCCAGCCCCACGUUCGGGGGCGAAUUGACUUGAGAGAGAAUAAUAUUUUAAAAUGUUUUUAAAAAUGUAUGUUCCAGGGCUCGUACCCUGGGUUCAUGGUUCUCAGGGCAGGAAUUAAGAGAAAUUGAAGGAAACACUCCAAAUCACUCAGUUACAAAAUUUCCAGCCAACCAAUACAGGAACUAGAAAGUCUACGUUUAACACGAAUAUCAAAUCUGUAUUAUGCACCUGAAACUAACCUAUAUGUCAAUUAUAGCUCAAUUUUUGAAAAAGGAACAAAAGGGAAAACCUACAUUUUGGUGGAAUUAGAAAGCUGCCAUUUUGUAACUGCUGAAGAAAUUACUGAUUCCAGCAAAGAGGAUUCUUGGUCAAAGCCGUCAAUGGAAGGAUGACUUGACCCUGGAGGGGUCCAGUUACCAUCACCUGGACAUUCGUCUCCGUCUUAGAAUCACACUGCCUGGGACACGUGGCAUUCUGAGACUUCUGGUGUAAUGCAAUAGGAAGAAAAUAGCACCACCUAGGAAGCAUUUUUUUGCCCCAAAAGUUGAACCUGAACUUAACCAAGACUCCAGCCCUAACUGCCAUUUUAUCAAGGUUAGACCAGAUGGCUAACGGAUGUGGACACCCCAAGGAAGCACAUUAACACAUUGAAGAAUGUGCAACACUUUUUUGGCACCACCGACCCGGUUUCUUCAAUGGGGUCAUGUUUAGAAAAGCGAGCUGGGGAGGGAGAACAGUUCUAUGGAAGAGAGACUCAAGAGACAUAGCAACUGGGAAAAAAAAGAGAGAGAGAGAGAGAGACAUAGCAACUGAAUAUAACCAUAGACUUUGUUUUGGGGUCCUGUUUGUUAUGGGUUGAAUUGUGUCUCCCCAAAAGAUGUAGGAGUCCUGACCCCCAGCACCUGCACAAGGAGUUUGUUUGGAAAUAAUGUCUUUGUGGGCGCCUGGGUGGCUCAGUCGGUUAAGGGACCACCUUUGGCUCAGGUCAUCAUCUUGGAAUCCCAGGAUGGAGUCCCACAUCGGGCUCCCCGCUUGGUGGGGACUCUGCUGCUGCCUCUCUCUCCAGAACAAAUAAAUAAAAUCUUAAAAAAAAAAAAAAAAAAAAGGAAACAGUGUCUUUGCAAAUGAUCAAGAGAAGAUCAAGUCAUUACCAUGGGCUCAAAUCCAGUAUGACUAGUGUCCUUGUAGAAAUGGGAGAUUUGGACAUGUACAGAAGGAAGACAAUGUGAGGACACAAGGAGAAGCCCCUCUUCUAGACAAGGAACACCUGAGGCUACCAGAACUGAGGAAGAGGCAUGGGAUAGAUCCCUUCUUAUGGCCUCAGAAGAUCCAGUGCCACCGAUACCUUGAUCUUGGACUUCUGGCCUCCAGAGCUGGGAGACAACAAGCUCCUGGCAGUUAAGACACCCAGUUUGUGAUCUGUUGUUACAGCAAUCCUAGGAAAUUGAUACAUUGUUCAAAGGAAGGAGAAAAAUACUAAAAUGACAUAUUUUAAUUUAUUCAUUUGAGAGAGAGAAAAAGCACAAGUGGGGGGGACAAGCAGAGGGAAAGAAGCAGACUCCCUACUGAGCAGGAAGCCUGAUGUGGGGCUCAAUCCCAGGACCCCAGGACCCGGAGAUCAUGACCUGAGCUAAAGGCAGAUGCUCAACCACCUGAGCCACCCAGGUGCCCCUAAAAUGACAUUUUUGGAAAAUUCCAUAAAUUUUUAAUAUAUUGCGUAUAGGUCUUAUUACAAGCUUGUAAAAUCUUGAUUGUUGUUGUAUAAUUGCAACUGGUACGUGAUGGUUCUUUA